GUGGGGAAUAUUGGGCAAUGGGCGCAAGCCUGACCCAGCAACGCCGCGUGAAGGAAGAAGGCUUUCGGGUUGUAAACUUCUUUUAAGAGGGAAGAGCAGAAGACGGUACCUUUAGAAUAAGCCACGGCUAACUACGUGCCAGCAGCCGCGGUAAUACGUAGGUGGCAAGCGUUGUCCGGAUUUACUGGGUGUAAAGGGCGUGCAGCCGGGUCUGCAAGUCAGAUGUGAAAUCCAUGGGCUCAACCCAUGAACUGCAUUUGAAACUGUAGAUCUUGAGUGUCGGAGGGGCAAUCGGAAUUCCUAGUGUAGCGGUGAAAUGCGUAGAUAUUAGGAGGAACACCAGUGGCGAAGGCGGAUUGCUGGACGAUAACUGACGGUGAGGCGCGAAAGUGUGGGGAGCAAACAGGA
rnacentral:rRNA from 1 species